rnacentral:rRNA from 1 species
CCUACGGGAGACAGCAGUGGGGAAUAUUGGGCAAUGGACGCAAGCCUGACCCAGCAACGCCGCGUGCAGGAAGAAGGCUUUCGGGUUGGAAACUUCUUUUCUCAGGGACGAAGCAAGUGACGGUACCUGAGGAAUAAGCCACGGCUAACUACGUGCCAGCAGCCGCGGUAAUACGUAGGUGGCAAGCGUUAUCCGGAUUUACUGGGUGUAAAGGGCGUGUAGGCGGUGACGUAAGUCAGAUGUGAAAACCAUGGGCUCAACCUCUGCCCUGCAUUUGAAACUGUGUUUCUUGAGUACUGGAGAGGCAGACGGAAUUCCUAGUGUAGCGGUGAAAUGCGUAGAUAUUAGGCGGAACACCAGUGGCGAAGGCGGUCUGCUGGACAGCAACUGACGCUGAGGCGCGAAAGCGUGGGGAGCAAACAGGAUUAGAUACCCGGGUAGUC